rnacentral:rRNA from 1 species
GAUGAACGCUGGCGGUAUGCUUAACACAUGCAAGUCGAACGGACUCUUCGGAGUUAGUGGCGGACGGGUGAGUAACGCGUGAGAAUCUGGCUUUGGGUUCGGGACAACCACUGGAAACGGUGGCUAAUACCGGAUGUGCCGAGAGGUAAAAGAGAAAUUGCCCGAAGAUGAGCUCGCGUCUGAUUAGCUAGUUGGUGAGGUAAAGGCUCACCAAGGCAGCGAUCAGUAGCUGGUCUGAGAGGAUGACCGGCCACACUGGGACUGAGACACGGCCCAGACUCCUACGGGAGGCAGCAGUGGGGAAUUUUCCGCAAUGGGCGAAAGCCUGACGGAGCAAUACCGCGUGAGGGAAGAAGGCUCUUGGGUUGUAAACCUCUUUUCUUAGGGAAGAACAAAAUGACGGUACCUAAGGAAUCAGCAUCGGCUAACUCCGUG